rnacentral:rRNA from 1 species
GAGUUUGGAUCCUGGCUCAGAUUGAACGCUGGCGGCAUGCCUUACACAUGCAAGUCGAACGGCAGCAUGAUCUAGCUUGCUAGAUUGAUGGCGAGUGGCGAACGGGUGAGUAAUACAUCGGAACGUGCCCUGUAGUGGGGGAUAACUAGUCGAAAGAUUAGCUAAUACCGCAUACGACCUGAGGGUGAAAGUGGGGGACCGCAAGGCCUCAUGCUAUAGGAGCGGCCGAUGUCUGAUUAGCUAGUUGGUGGGGUAAAGGCCCACCAAGGCGACGAUCAGUAGCUGGUCUGAGAGGACGAUCAGCCACACUGGGACUGAGACACGGCCCAGACUCCUACGGGAGGCAGCAGUGGGGAAUUUUGGACAAUGGGCGAAAGCCUGAUCCAGCAAUGCCGCGUGUGUGAAGAAGGCCUCGGUUGUAAGU